GACGAACGCUGGCGGCGUGCCUAAUACAUGCAAGUUGAGCGCUGAAGGUUGGUACUUGUACCGACUGGAUGAGCAGCGAACGGGUGAGUAACGCGUGGGGAGUCUGCCUUUGAGCGGGGGACAACAUUUGGAAACGAAUGCUAAUACCGCAUAAAAACUUUAAACACAAGUUUUAAGUUUGAAAGAUGCAAUUGCAUCACUCAAAGAUGAUCCCGCGUUGUAUUAGCUAGUUGGUGAGGUAAAGGCUCACCAAGGCGAUGAUACAUAGCCGACCUGAGAGGGUGAUCGGCCACAUUGGGACUGAGACACGGCCCAAACUCCUACGGGAGGCAGCAGUAGGGAAUCUUCGGCCAUGGACGAAAGUCUGACCGAGCAACGCCGCGUGAGUGAAGAAGGUUUUCGGAUCGUAAAACUCUGUUGGUAGAGAAGAACGUUGGUGAGAGUGGAAAGCUCAUCAAGUGACGGUAACUACCCAGAAAGGGACGGCUAACUACGUG
rnacentral:rRNA from 1 species